GCCGCGGCGGCGACCCGACCGUCGCAACGGCUCCACCAGCUCGGCCGCCGUAGGGGCGCACGCGCUGCGGCGCUGGCGGGAGUUCCCCGGAGUCAUGGGCGGACUAGCCACAAUGAGGCGCGGUUCCAAGUUUAUGUCUGUUGGACUGGAAAUGGGGCCAUUAUGUUGUUGAUUAGACAAGGUGAAGGUCUUUAUUUUCCAGGCUUUUCAAGACUCAACAAAAUUCUGUGGUCACUGCAAUUGGCGAACCAGGACAAAGGUGGCAAACUAACGAUGUUUUCUUCUUCAACUGUCUGUUGCAAAAACCAUCGAAGAGUUUCAGGCCAAAAGAAACUUGCCAUAGUCUGAACUGGAACCAAUGAAACUGUUGGCCCAAAAUUCAUCACCAACUGUGCUUUUCUUCUUCUGGCUUAAUAAACCAGGUGUAUUUGCACAGAGAUGUUGACACUUGUAGUGAUCAGAGUAUUAUAUUAGUUAAUAUGUGAAAGGUAUCUCAAGUCAAUGCUAGCUCACAUCUGACAUUUGCGUUUUCCUCGACAUGCGCCAUGCAUGCAUCUGUUUUCUCUAUAAAUCUUUAUAGCAGGGUCAGUCCACUGUCCAUCGCCAUGGUCCAUCCAAGAGUGACGAUGCAAAGAUCUCACGAAGAUUUUCCACGGCAUGUGAGGAGAUUUUGGCAGAAAGACUGGUCUCUAUUCCUCACUUUAUAACCUGGGUUCACUAUUUCGUGUGAACGUGCAAAUGUGUGCACGUGCUGUUGGCUGUUGCAACUCGUUGACAAAUGCACAAAGUAAAGGAGGUGUGGAAAGACCUUUUGUGCUAGUUUGUACAUAUACAAAUGCACAAUUGUGUUAUGAAUAUAUAUGCAGUGAUGAGAUCUUCUUUGACUUGA